GCCCACUUAAAACUUCUGUCCCAGAAGCUGUUUUGAUUUGCUUCAUUGCUGGGGAUUAGACAGGUUCUUACACGUACUAGGUAACGUUCAGCACUACUGUAACGGACACCGUCUGAUCGCGCUGUAGCUUGCAGAUCUACUAUUCCAUCUUCUCUGUACCAGAGAAGUUCUUCAUCCUCGGUGUGGUUUUGAACAGCACAUUCCAGAGAUGCUUGGACACCAUGUUGAGUGUCCAGAAUAUAGUUCUCAGUUCUACCAUUCAGAUAGCUCUACUGUGCCUCAAGUGUGAAGAGUCCUGGUUUGAUGCUCAGAACUGCAGACAGAUAAAGAGGAGUGCUGCUACUACUACCACUACUACUACCACUACUACUGACAGAGUCUUUCUCCAGAGCCCUAUCG
rnacentral:lncRNA from 1 species